rnacentral:rRNA from 1 species
AGCGAACGCUGGCGGCAGGCCUAACACAUGCAAGUCGAACGAAGCCUUCGGGCCUAGUGGCGGACGGGUGAGUAACACGUGGGAACGUACCUCUCGGUUCGGAAUAACGCAGAGAAAUUUGCGCUAAUACUGAAUGAGCCCUUCGGGGGAAAGAUUUAUCGCCGAAAGAUCGGCCCGCGUUGGAUUAGGUAGUUGGUGUGGUAAGGGCGCACCAAGCCUACGACCCAUAGCUGGUCUGAGAGGAUGAUCAGCCACACUGGGACUGAGACACGGCCCAGACUCCUACGGGAGGCAGCAGUGGGGAAUCUUGCGCAAUGGGCGAAAGCCUGACGCAGCCAUGCCGCGUGAAUGAUGAAGGUCUUAGGAUUGUAAAAUUCUUUUACCAGGGAAGAUAAUGACGGUACCUGGAGAAAAAGCCCCGGCUAACUUCGUGCCAGCAGCCGCAGUAACAC